rnacentral:rRNA from 1 species
GUGGGGAAUAUUGGACAAUGGGCGAAAGCCUGAUCCAGCCAUGCCGCGUGUGUGAAGAAGGUCUUCGGAUUGUAAAGCACUUUAAGUUGGGAGGAAGGGCAGUAAGUUAAUACCUUGCUGUUUUGACGUUACCGACAGAAUAAGCACCGGCUAACUUCGUGCCAGCAGCCGCGGUAAUACGAAGGGUGCAAGCGUUAAUCGGAAUUACUGGGAGUAAAGCGCGCGUAGGUGGUUCAGCAAGUUGAAGGUGAAAUCCCCGGGCUCAACCUGGGAACUGCCUCCAAAACUACUGAGCUAGAGUACGGUAGAGGGUAGUGGAAUUUCCUGUGUAGCGGUGAAAUGCGUAGAUAUAGGAAGGAACACCAGUGGCGAAGGCGACUACCUGGACUGAUACUGACACUGAGGUGCGAAAGCGUGGGGAGCAAACAGGAUUAGAAACCCGAGUAGUCC